ACAACGUUUCCAAAGAUCUGGAUUUUUUUAAGUCAUUCUUACACCCUUUUUGGUUUCCCGGAAUCUGGUUUCUCCUCGGCAACGUCCUCGUUACCGAAACCUUUUUAGCGUUCCAGGCGUUUCUGUUCGUUCUUUUCGGUGCUUUAUGGUACUUUCAAGCAGGAAAAACCCCCCAGAAACGAGCCCUCCGGGUGCCACCGACCGUUUCAGACGUGCCGCAUCGACCCCCCACUGCGUCCCCCCCGUUCCUUCUCCCCGCCCGCCGCCCGGGCCGGCGGGAACACAGCACACCAAAGAGACAGGAUUUCUGCAAGCCAAAGAUGUUUUAACCCGCCAUUUCUCCUCGCCAUGGCUGGUGCGGGCGGUCGGGCGGCGCCGGGGAGGCCCCCCGAGCUCCCAGCCCUCUCUCGGCCGCGGCCGCCCCGCGAGCGGUGACCGAGCGCGGCCGCGGCUCUUUAAAGAGACACUUGAGACUUUUUUUAUGUGCUACUUAAUCGAAACCAAAGAAACGUUUUUUCUGCACCUACUUCUUCUGCAACAAACUGUUCCAUGGAAAGAUAAAAUAAAAAUUAAAAAAACAAAACAAUAAAAAACCAACGACAAGGAAGCGCGUCAGGAAGCAAACGAGUCCCACACUGUGUUUUACAGACACCUCGGACGUUUUCGGAAGCAGAUCUCGAAGAAAGGGUUGACCAAGAACGAGAACAAAGCAAAGCCAGUCCAAUUGCUGCUUCAUUUGACAACUCCAGUCCUCCUAAAGUUGAAGAUUGUCUUUAAUUUGUGCCUAUGCAGUUUUUUCAAAGAGAACAAGGAACAGAGCAACCGAAACCUCAACAGCUACAAUACCAAAGAUGAGGAUUCUCACGACUUGUGUUUCAGUUUGUUUUCUCCUCUUGCACGACUAAUGCACACACCCCCACUGGUCUCUGGACAGACUGGUGUGCACAGAGAGCAUCCCAGCAUCUCCCGGCCCGGGAACUUGGAGUUACAAUGUGGGCACAGCCCAGAUGAAUUCAACUUUCAAGAAAUUAUUGCUUUAACUGCCCCCGAAGGAACAAGGAAUGUGCUCCAUGACUUCGGUUGAAUAGCUUUAUUCUGGAUCUCUCUCACCUACAGCUGAACCCAAAGACCUGAGAAGGACCCAACCAGCAAACCUCGCUCCCCCCUGCCCGAGGGAAGGGGGAUCCCAGCCCUGCAGGAGGGAAGGGGGAUCCCCCCUCCCCGAGGAAGACACGGUAACAACACAAGCUGGCUUCGGACACAGCCAGUGCUUUCCUUGCUUGUCACAGUUCCUGAGUGGUUUUGAGACAUGGGGAAACUUUC